UACGUAGGGUGCAAGCGUUAAUCGGAAUUACUGGGCGUAAAGCGUGCGCAGGCGGUGUUGUAAGACAGGUGUGAAAUCCCCGGGCUUAACCUGGGAACUGCAUUUGUGACUGCAUCGCUGGAGUGCGGCAGAGGGGGAUGGAAUUCCGCGUGUAGCAGUGAAAUGCGUAGAUAUCGGAAGGAACACCAGUGGCGAAAGCGGCUUCCUGGUCCAGCACCGACGUUCAGGCACGAAAGCGUGGGGAGCAAACAGG
rnacentral:rRNA from 1 species